AGCAGCCGCGGUAAUUCCAGCUUCAAUAGCGUAUAUUAAAGUUGUUGCAGUUAAAAAGCUCGUAGUUGAAUUUUGGAUUCUUCCAAUUGGUCCAUCUUUUAGAUGAGUACUGGUUGUGUGGGGUCUAUCCGCCUGGUAAUACGUAAUGUCCUUUAUUGGAUGUUGCGGGUAGUCAGGACCUUUACCUUGAAAAAAUUAGAGUGUUUAAAGCAGGCUUAUGCCGGAAUACAUUAGCAUGGAAUAAUAGAAUAGGACGAAGUUGUUUUAUUUUGUUGGUUUCUAGGACAACCGUAAUGAUUAAUAGGGAUAGUUGGGGGCAUUAGUAUUCAAUUGUCAGAGGUGAAAUUCUUGGAUUUAUUGAAGACUAACUACUGCGAAAGCAUUUGCCAAGGAUGUUUUCAUUAAUCAAGAACGAAAGUUAGGGGAUCGAAGACGAUCAGAUACCGUCGU
rnacentral:rRNA from 1 species